UAUAAACAUUGAUACUUUUCUCUAUAAAUUUGGUCAAAGUUGGGAAAGUUAGGCUUUAAGACAAACCGAGAAUGACUUGUAUUUUGGGACCGAGGGAGCAUGCUCUAUAUUAGCGUUGUAUUUGUAGAACAUGAUAAAAAUAUAACCUCAUAUGGAUCCGUUGGUACAUAUAAAACCAUUGGUGCAAUCCAAGGAACAUAAAUAUAUAUAGCCAUUGCUGCAUUUCAAUCAUCAUAUAUUCAAUACAUAUAGAUCCAUACAUUUCAAUUGCAUACAAUAAACUUCAUUACUAGCGGAACCUACUAACCACAGCCACACAUGGUAAGGCAUAUUUUUCUUUUAAUUCACCCGUGGAGGAUCCCUUAGUAUCAUCUCGUAACAGCAACCAGUACUAAGUGGCCCCCGGACCGUCUAUCCACC
rnacentral:lncRNA from 1 species